GACGUAGGGCGCGAGCGUUGUCCGGAUUUAUUGGGCGUAAAGAGCUCGUAGGCGGCUUGUCGCGUCGACUGUGAAAACCCGAGGCCCAACUUCGGGCUUGCAGUCGAUACGGGCAGGCUAGAGUUCGGUAGGGGAGACUGGAAUUCCUGGUGUAGCGGUGAAAUGCGCAGAUAUCAGGAGGAACACCGAUGGCGAGGGCAGGUCUCUGGGCCGAUACUGACGCUGAGGAGCGAAAGCGUGGGGAGCGAACAGG
rnacentral:rRNA from 1 species